UUUCUUGUAGUUGUUUGAUUGGGUCACGGUUGGGAACCUUCAGUCUUCUCAGAAUCAUGUAUUUCUAAAUCUUUUGUCCAAGGGCUUAAAAGGAGGAGGUCGCUUUGGGCAAACCACUCCUCCACUUGUUGAUUUCCUUAAAGAUAUUUUAAGAAGAUACCCAGAAGGAGGGCAAAUUCUUAAGCCCAGGACUGUGUUGGCUUUUUUGGCAGCUGCUGCACACUGCUGGUUCAUAUUUAAAUGGUUGUGCACUAGGACUCCAAGAUCCCUCUCAAAGUUACUACUAUUGAGCAAGGUACCUCAUAUAUUGUACCUGUGCAUUUUGUUUUUCUUGCCAAAAUGCAGAACCUUACUUUUUUCACCAUUGAAUUUCAUUUUGUUAGAUAGCGCCCAAUGUUCUGGUCCAGAA